UACGUAGGGGGCUAGCGUUGUCCGGAUUUAUUGGGCGUAAAGAGCGUGUAGGCGGCCAGGUAGGUCUGCUGUGAAAACUCGAGGCUCAACCAUCGAGACGUCGGCGGAAACCAUCUGGUCUAGAGUCCGGAAGAGGAGAGUGGAAGUUCCUGGUGUAGCGUGAAAUGCGCAGAUAUCAGGAAGAACACCCGUGGCGAAGGCGGCUCUCUGGGACGGUACUGACGCUGAGACGCGAAACGUGGGGAGCGAACAGG
rnacentral:rRNA from 1 species